UGCAAGUCGAGCGAUGAGGCCCUUUCGGGGGUACAUCAGCGGCAGACGGGUGAGUAACACGUGGGUGACCUACCCUAAAGACGGGGAUAACCCUCGGAAACGGGGGCUAAUACCGGAUAGCUACAGCGUACGGGGGUAUGUUGUAGAAAGCUACGGCGCUUUAGGAGGGGCCUGCGGCCCAUCAGCUAGUUGGUAGGGUAACGGCCUACCAAGGCAAAGACGGGUAGGGGGUGUGAGAGCACGGCCCCCCACAAUGGGACUGGAACACGGCCCAUACUCCUACUGGAGGCAGCACCAGGGAAUAUUGCGCAAUGGGCGAAAGCCUGACGCAGCGACGCCGCGUGAGUGAAGACGGCUUUCGAGUUGUAAAACUCUUUUCUGGGGGAAGAGGAAGGACGGUACCCGAGGAAUAAGCGUCGGCUAACUACGUGCCAGCAGCCGCGGUAAGACGUAGGACGCGAGCGUUAUCCGGAUUUACUGGGCGUAAAGCGCCUGUAGGCGGCUUUGUAAGUUGGGCGUGAAAGCCCCGUGCUUAACGCGGGGAGGCCGUUCAAUACUGCGGAGAUAGAGUACGGCAGAGGGGAGUGGAAUUCCUGGAGUAGCGGUAAAAUGCGCAGAUAUCAGGAGGAACACCAGUGUCGAAGGCGGCUCCCUGGGCCGAGACUGACGCUCAGAGGCGAAAGCUAGGGGAGCGAACAGGAUUAGAGACCCUGGUAGUCCUAGCCUCUAAACGAUGGAUGCUAGGUGUGGGGGCGAUGAGUUUCCGUGCCGGAGCAAACGCGAUAAGCAUCCCGCCUGGGGACUACGGCCGCAAGGUUAAAACUCAAACGAAUUGACGGGGGCCCGCACAAGCAGCGGAGCGUGUGGUUUAAUUCGAUGCUACACGAAGAACCUUACCUGGGUUUGACAUGUAGGUGGUAGCGAGGCGAAAGCUGAGCGACCCUUCGGGGAGCCUACACAGGUGCUGCAUGGCUGUCGUCAGCUCGUGCCGUGAGGUGUCGGGUUAAGUCCCGUAACGAGCGCAACCCUUGCUCCUAGUUAUACGUGUCUAGGGGGACUGCCGGCGGGAAGCCGGAGGAAGGUGGGGAUGACGUCAAGUCAGCAUGGCCCUUAUGUCCAGGGGUACACACACGCUACAAUGGCCAGUACAAAGGGUAGAGAAGCCGCGAGGUGGAGCGAAUCUCAGCAAAGCUGGUCGUAGUUCGGAUUGCAGGCUGCAACCCGCCUGCAUGAAGCUGGAGUUGCUAGUAACCGCGCGUCAGCUAUAGUGCGGUGAAUACGUUCCCGGGCCUUGUACACACCGCCCGUCACGUCAUGGGAGUCGGUAACGCCUGAAGGCGGUAGCUU
rnacentral:rRNA from 1 species